CGGAACGUACCAUUCAGUGGGGGAUAACGUAGCGAAAGUUACGCUAAUACCGCAUAUUCUGUGAGCAGGAAAGCAGGGGAUCGCAAGACCUUGCGCUGAUUGAGCGGCCGAUAUCAGAUUAGCUAGUUGGUGAGGUAAGGGCUCACCAAGGCGACGAUCUGUAGCGGGUCUGAGAGGAUGAUCCGCCACACUGGAACUGAGACACGGUCCAGACUCCUACGGGAGGCAGCAGUGGGGAAUUUUGGACAAUGGGCGCAAGCCUGAUCCAGCCAUGCCGCGUGAGUGAAGAAGGCCUUCGGGUUGUAAAGCUCUUUCGGCCGGGAAAAAAUCGCAUGGGCUAAUACCCUGUGUGGAUGACGGUACCGGAAUAAGAAGCACCGGCUAACUACGUGCCAGCAGCCGCGGUAAUACGUAGGGUGCGAGCGUUAAUCGGAAUUACUGGGCGUAAAGCGUGCGCAGGCGGUUUUGUAAGACAGGCGUGAAAUCCCCGGGCUCAACCUGGGAACUGCGUUUGUGACUGCAAGGCUAGAGUACGGCAGAGGGGGGUGGAAUUCCACGUGUAGCAGUGAAAUGCGUAGAGAUGUGGAGGAACACCAAUGGCGAAGCAGCCCCCUGGGUCGAUACUGACGCUCAUGCACGAAAGCGUGGGUAGCAAACAGGAUUAGAUACCCUGGUAGUCCACGCCCUAAACGAUGUCAACUAGGUGUUGGGUGGGCAAAACCAUUUAGUACCGUAGCUAACGCGAGAAGUUGACCGCCUGGGGAGUACGGCCGCAAGGUUAAAACUCAAAGGAAUUGACGGGGACCCGCACAAGCGGUGGAUGAUGUGGAUUAAUUCGAUGCAACGCGGAAAACCUUACCUACCCUUGACAUGUCCAGAAGCCCGAAGAGAUUUGGGUGAGCUCGAAAGAGAGCUGGAACACAGGUGCUGCAUGGCUGUCGUCAGCUCGUGUCGUGAGAUGUUGGGUUAAGUCCCGCAACGAGCGCAACCCUUGUCGUUAAUUGCCAUCAUUCAGUUGGGCACUUUAACGAGACUGCCGGUGACAAACCGGAGGAAGGUGGGGAUGACGUCAAGUCCUCAUGGCCCUUAUGGGUAGGGCUUCACACGUCAUACAAUGGUCGGUACAAAGGGUUGCCAACCCGCGAGGGGGAGCUAAUCCCAUAAAGCCGAUCGUAGUCCGGAUCGUAGGCUGCAACUCGCCUGCGUGAAGUCGGAAUCGCUAGUAAUCGUGGAUCAGCAUGUCACGGUGAAUACGUUCCCGGGUCUUGUACACACCGCCCGUCACACCAUGGGAGCGGGUUCCGCCAGAAGUAGGUAGCCUAACCGCAAGGAGGGCGCUUACCACGGCGGGGUUCGUG
rnacentral:rRNA from 1 species